GAGCGAUUAUCGGCCCAGGCCGAUGGUUAGAGCGCGACACUGAUAAUGUCGAGGUCAAUGGUUCAAGUCCAUUAUCGCCCACCA
rnacentral:tRNA from 1 species